GACGAACGCUGGCGGCGUGCCUAAUACAUGCAAGUAGAACGCUGAAGAGAGGAGCUUGCUCUUCUUGGAUGAGUUGCGAACGGGUGAGUAACGCGUAGGUAACCUGCCUUGUAGCGGGGGAUAACUAUUGGAAACGAUAGCUAAUACCGCAUAACAAUGGAUGACACAUGUCAUUUAUUUGAAAGGGGCAAUUGCUCCACUACAAGAUGGACCUGCGUUGUAUUAGCUAGUAGGUGAGGUAAUGGCUCACCUAGGCGACGAUACAUAGCCGACCUGAGAGGGUGAUCGGCCACGCUGGGACGGAGACACGGCCCAGAAUCCUACGAGAGGCAGAAGUAGGGGAUCUUCAGCAAUGGGGGCAACCCUGACCGAGCAACGCCGCGUGAGUGAAGAAGGUUGUCGGGUCGUAAAGCUCUGUUGUAAGUCAAGAACGGGUGUGAGAGUGGAAAGUUCACACUGUGACGGUAGCUUACCAGAAAGGGACGGCUAACUACGUG
rnacentral:rRNA from 1 species